rnacentral:misc_RNA from 1 species
AAAUGCGAUAAGUAGUGUGAAUUGCAGAAUUCAGUGAAUCAUCGAAUCUUUGAACGCACAUUGCGCCCCUUGGUAUUCCAUGGGGCAUGCCUGUUCGAGCGUCAUCUACACCCUCAAGCUCUGCUUGGUGUUGGGCGUCUGUCCCGCCCCCGCGCGUGGACUCGCCCCAAAUCCAUUGGCAGCGUUCCUUGCCCCCUCUCGCGCAGCACAUUGCGCUUCUCGAGGGCGGCUCCGGGACGCGAUCCAGCAAGAUGACCACCGUCUUUGACCUCGGAUCAGGUAGGGAUACCCGCUGAACUUAAGC